UGAAUAAAGAAGGAAAAUCGUGAGCGCAGUUGUAAGUUGACAUAGUCCCAGGGCCAAGUACAGCGAUGCAACCCGGGACUACGUUAACUUCCAGCCUCGAACACGGAGCGACUGAUGAGUAGAGC
rnacentral:precursor_RNA from 8 species